UACGUAGGCAGCAAGCGUUGUUCGGAGUUACUGGGCGUAAAGGGUGUGUAGGCGGCCUGUUAAGUUCCGUGUGAAAUCUCCCGGCUCAACCGGGAGGGUGCGCGGAAAACUGGCGGGCUAGAGUGCGGGGAUGGGAGAGUAGAAUUCCUGGUGUAGCGGUGAAAUGCGUAGAUAUCAGGAGGAAUACCGGUGGUGUAGACGGCUCUCUGGACCGCAACUGACGCUGAAACACGAAAGCGUGGGUAGCAAACAGG
rnacentral:rRNA from 1 species